rnacentral:lncRNA from 1 species
UAAGUAUGCACUCAAAGCAUGCAUGUUCUUCCCUUUAAUUUCUUCACCUGGAGUUUGAGAGCUAGGUUAAAUUAAGCACACACCCUUGCAUUCCAUGGCUCGAGUCCUCCUCCUGCCUCACCUUCAUUCAAUCUAAAUGUCAAGUAUGAAUCUGUGUCUUCGAAUACACAAUGAUCAGGAGGUGUUUAAAGGCUGUAGCAAGAGCUUCAAAUCCGACCUUAUCGGUCACUAGGUGACUGUGAUUGUGAUAAUAGUAACUAACACAUCAUAAUCAAUCACAUAAGUAAAUUAGCCAGGACAUUACAACGUAAUUAAUCUAGUACUAAAUGAACAAAACAGUUCUAGAGAUUCAUUGAAAUUUCAUUUGUCUUUGCAGUACGUAAGCUUGGUAUUGAGACCUAAUUACACGUUUCCAAGCCUUCAAGUUUCAACAAUAGCAGCUGCAGUGCACUUACACGGAGACGACGACGACUACUGUAUAACAGAGCAAGCUAGGAAAGUGGGGUGAACAAAAUGCCAAAGAUCUGAACGGUCAAUUUCAAAAAGUGGGGUGGCGUGGAAGGACGUGCAACGUCCGAUAGCGACAGUAUGGUAGAUGGGUUCGGAAAGUUGAACCAGAAGGCGCCGUCCAGGACAAAGCUCCAUGAGAGUGACGGACACUGUUAAUUUGUUGUUUUAAAAAACGAAGUGGAAACGAAAGGAGGAAGAAGAAGAAGAAGAAGAAGAAGACCGGAAGAAACUAAAAUCUAGAGUUUUGGCAUGCAUAGCUGCAUAAGCAUAAGAACGUGGGUUUCAUUAGCAAUUUCUUUGUAAGAGUGGACCAACAUUUCACCUGCUAGCUAGAAUGCCAGGAACUUAUUUGGGGACCAGUUAUUGGCUAUAGUGUUUAGGGUUUAGGGAAAAUGAUCGAUCAUCAGCUACGGCCUGGAUUCAAACUUGCAUCAGCCAGGGCGUGUUUAGGGUUUAGGGAAAUUGUUAUGUGAUAUAUAGUUUCAUACUUUCAUUAGCUUUUCGUAACUCGAUUCACGUUUCACGUUUGUCACAAACCAACGACUGAAAGAUCUAUCUGUCUGCAAAGUUAGUCUGUAGAAGAGUGUAUACAUAGGUAUUUAAAUGCCAUGUACAUGUAUUCCCUGUUGCAUUGGUCCAGCUGCGCCAUUUUUGAUCCUUGAAUGUCUGAUUUUGAUAUAUCAUAUGUAUGGACCUAAAUAAUAUGAUGGUUAACGUUCAUGUGCAUCAAUUCUUGUUUAGGCACAGUGUUACUGGUGUAGUGGUCCAAGAGGUAUCUCUCGCCCAUAGUAAUACGAUUCCAGGUUUGUAUACUGCUGGCUAGCCAAGUAGCAAGUAUCAACUCCAUCGGAAAAAGCACAAGCUUGAUUGGCUUUAGCCCAGAGCCGGCUUUGUAUCAUAUUUCUACUGUUCGAUGUC